CCUACGGGAGGCAGCAGUGGGGAAUAUUGCACAAUGGGGGAAACCCUGAUGCAGCGACGCCGCGUGAGUGAAGAAGUAAUUCGUUGUGUAAAGCUCUAUCAGCAGGGAAGAAAAUGACGGUACCUUAGUAAGAAGUCCCGGCCAACUACGUGCCAGCAGCCGCGGUAAUACGUAGGGGGCAAGCGUUAGCCGGAUUGACUGGGUGAAAAGGGAGCGUAGACGGCAGUGCAAGUCUGGAGUGAAAGGCGGGGGCUCAACCCCCGGACUGCUCUGGAAACUGGACGGCUGGAGUGCAGGAGAGGUAAGUGGAAUUCCUAGUGUAGCGGUGAAAUGCGUAGAUAUUAGGAGGAACACCAGUGGCGAAGGCGGCUUACUGGACUGUAACUGACGUUGAGGCUCGAAAGCGUGGGGAGCAAACAGGAUUAGAUACCCUAGUAGUC
rnacentral:rRNA from 1 species